UACGGAGGGUGCAAGCGUUGUUCGGAAUCACUGGGCGUAAAGGGCUCGUAGGUGGCCAACUAAGUCAGACGUGAAAUCCCUCGGCUCAACCGGGGAACUGCGUCUGAUACUGGAUGGCUUGAAUCCGGGAGAGGGAUGCGGAAUUCCAGGUGUAGCGGUGAAAUGCGUAGAUAUCUGGAGGAACACCGGUGGCGAAGGCGGCAUCCUGGACCGGUAUUGACACUGAGGAGCGAAAGCCAGGGGAGCAAACGGG
rnacentral:rRNA from 1 species